rnacentral:rRNA from 1 species
AACGUAGGUGGCGAGCGUUAUCCGGAUUUACUGGGCGUAAAGGGUGUGCAGGCGGGCUGUUAAGUGGUGUAUGAAAUAUCCCGGCUCAACCGGGAGGGGUUAUGCCAGACUGGCAGUCUAGAGAGCGAGAGAGGGACGUGGAAUUCCGGGUGUAGUGGUGAAAUGCGUAGAGAUCCGGAGGAACCCCAGAGGCGAAGGCGGCGUCCUGGCUCGCAUCUGACGCUCAGACACGACAGCAUGGGGAGCGAACGGG